GGAGGGGUGCCGGAGCGGUCUAACGGAACGGUCUGGAGAACCGUGCCUCAGUAAUGGGGCUCGUGGGUUCGAAUCCCACCCCCUCCGCAA
rnacentral:tRNA from 1 species